rnacentral:rRNA from 1 species
UACGUAGGGACCGAGCGUUGUCCGGAAUCAUUGGGCGUAAAGAGCGUGCAGGCGGCCACUUAAGUCCUGCGUGAAAUCUUGCGGCUCAACCGCAAGCGGUCGUGGGAAACUGGGUGGCUAGAGUGCGGGAGAGGAGAGUGGAAUUCCUGGUGUAGCGGUGGAAUGCGCAGAUAUCAGGAAGAACACCCGUGGCGAAGGCGGCUCUCUGGAACGCAACUGACGCUGAGACGCGAAAGCGUGGGGAGCAAACAGG